GACGAACGCUGGCGGCGUGCUUAACACAUGCAAGUCGAACGGAAAGGCCCUGCUUUUGUGGGGUGAUCGAGUGGUGAACGGGUGAGAAAUACGUGAGUAAUCUGCCCUACACUUUGGGAUAACUUCAGGAAACUGGGGCUAAUACAGGAUAGGAGCUCUAGCUGCAUGGUGGGGGUCGGAAAGUUUCGGCGUAUGGGGAUGGAUUCGCGGCUUCUCAGCUUGUUGGCGGGGUAGUGGCUUACCAAAGCUUCGACGAGUUGCCGGCCUGAGAGGGUGACCGGCCACGUUGGAUCGGACAUACGGCACAGACUACUACCGUAAGCAACAGUGGGGUAGAGAGCACUAUGGGCGGAGGCAUCAUGCAGCAACGCCGCGUGCGGGGUGUCAUCCUGCGGGUUGUAUUCCGCUUUCGCCUUGGACGAAGCGUGAGUGACGGUAAUGGAUAAAUAAGCACCGGCUAACUACGUG
rnacentral:rRNA from 1 species